rnacentral:rRNA from 1 species
GACGGAGGGUGCAAGCGUUGUUCGGAAUUACUGGGCGUAAAGGGCACGUAGGCGGUCUGUUAAGUUCGGUGUGAAAGCCCCCGGCUCACCUGGGGAACUGCGCCGGAAACCGACAGACUCGAGUACCGGAGAGGAGGGUGGAAUUCCUGGUGUAGCGGUGAAAUGCGUAGAUAUCAGGAGGAACACCGGUGGCGAAGGCGGCCCUCUGGACGGAUACUGACGCUGAGGCGCGAAAGCGUGGGGAUCAAACAGG